CACCGACAUCAGGGAUUCGUUCUGCGAACCUUGGCCCACCGCUAAAUAGGCGUUCAUGCCCAGCUCUUUCAUCUGCUGUUCGCCGAUCACGCGCGUGGCCAUGCUGUCGCUGUAGGCGUCCGCUAACUGACGCGCCUGAGAGGCCAGAUAGGCUGCGUUACAAAUGUUCGGCGGCAUGUUGCCCAGAUCUUUCGC
rfam:Leminorella grimontii ATCC 33999 = DSM 5078 strain ATCC 33999 GLGR.assembly.07, whole genome shotgun sequence.